GCAGGCUCCGUGCUGGUGCAUCGAACUGUUGGCUUCCUAUCUGCUUCAGUCUCUCCCCAAGYGAAGCUCCUUCCUUGCGGGUGUGUAUGGUAUCCUGUGCUGCUUACCCUUGAAAUGGAAUUCAUUGGAUUUGUUGUUUCGAUCCGCCAUGUGUUCCCUUCGGGGUGCGGGGCGGACGUGAGGUGGGCUUUGUGUUCCUGGUAUGCCCAGUACAUUGUUGCUUGGCUGCUGUGGCACUUGGAGUCUCAACUUGUUCUCUCGGAUACAGAAUGCUAUGUGUGGGCGUGAGGUAUUGGCCUCGAUUCGUCCAGGCACUGUCCCUUGACUCGAACAACUGUUGUGCUCGUCUUGAUCUUCCCGACCAAGGUCUCGUAAUGGGGCUUACUGGAUGAGGGUUUGCUCAUGCGGGCAUCAGCGUUGAAGAGGAAUGC
rnacentral:misc_RNA from 1 species